rnacentral:rRNA from 1 species
AUUGAACGCUGGCGGCAUGCUUUACACAUGCAAGUUGAACGGUAACAGGCCGCAAGGUGCUGACGAGUGGCGAACGGGUGAGUAAUGCAUCGGAACGUGCCCAGUCGUGGGGGAUAACGCAGCGAAAGCUGCGCUAAUACCGCAUACGAUCUGUGGAUGAAAGCGGGGGACCUUCGGGCCUCGCGCGAUUGGAGCGGCCGAUGUCAGAUUAGGUAGUUGGUGGGGUAAAGGCUCACCAAGCCAACGAUCUGUAGCUGGUCUGAGAGGACGACCAGCCACACUGGGACUGAGACACGGCCCAGACUCCUACGGGAGGCAGCAGUGGGGAAUUUUGGACAAUGGGCGCAAGCCUGAUCCAGCAAUGCCGCGUGCAGGAAGAAGGCCUUCGGGUUGUAAACUGCUUUUGUACGGAACGAAACGGCUCUGGUUAAUACCUGGGGCUAAUGACGGUACCGUAAGAAUAAGCACCGGCUAACUACGUGCCAGCCGCCGCAGUAACAC